GCGGGCAUGGUGUAGUGGUAACACAAAACCCUUCCAAGGUUUUGUCACGGGUUCGAGUCCCGUUGCCCGCUC
rnacentral:tRNA from 2 species